GAUGAACGCUGGCGGCGUGCCUAAUACAUGCAAGUCGAGCGAACAGACGAGGCGCUUGCUCCUCUGACGUUAGCGGCGGACGGGUGAGUAACACGUGGAUAACCUACCUAUAAUACUGGUAUCACUUCGGGAAACCGGCGCUAAUACCGGAUAAUAUAUUGAACCGCAUUGUUCAAUAGUGAAAGACGGUUUUGCUGUCACUUAUAGCUGGAUCCGCGCCGCAUUAUCUAGUUGGUAAGGUAACGGCUUACCAAGGCAACGAUGCGUAGCCGACCUGAGAGGGGGAACGGGCACAGUGGGACUGAGAGACGGUCCAGAGUCCGACGGGAGGCAGCGGUAGGGAAGGGACGGAGAAGGGCGGAAGCCUGAAGGAGCAACGCAGGGUGAAUGAAGAAGGGCUGCGGAUCGUAAAACGCUGUUAGGAGGGAAGAACAAAUGUGUAAGUAACUAAGCGUGAGUGGACGGAACGUAAAAAGAAAGCCACGGCUAACUACGU
rnacentral:rRNA from 1 species